rnacentral:misc_RNA from 1 species
UGUCCACCACCACCUUAUUACCCUAAAGAAACUUGUCCAAUUGAUACACUUAAAUUAGGUGUUUGUGCUGAUGUUCUUGGAUUAGUAAAUGUUGUUGUUGGCUCACCACCAGUAACUCCUUGUUGUACUCUUCUAUCUGGACUUGCUAAUGCUGAAGCUGCUCUUUGUCUUUGUACUGCUCUUAAGGCUAAUAUUUUGGGAAUUAACCUUAAUCUCCCUAUUUCACUUAGUUUGCUUCUUAAUGUUUGCUCUAAAGAAGCUCCUGCUGGCUUUCAAUGCUCUUAAUUAAAUUAAUUUUGUCAAGAUUUAAUUAAGUUUGUCAUUUGAGGUUGAGGGGUGUGAAAGACAUUAUAUUAAUUUACUUUGAGAUGGGUGGCUUGGUUUAAUUUGAAGAUUAUAUUAUUGUAAUAUCUAAGAUAUUAUGUUGAUAUGUGUCAUGUUCAAGUUUAUGUUGUAUGAUUAUUAUUGUUACUUAUAUGUUAUAUAAAAGUUUACUUUGAGUUUGAGAGUUUAAUUUUCAUUAAGAGUGUGAGAAAUGAAUGAGACAGAUUUUUCUUAUCGUUAAUCAGAGAUUUUGAGUUCAAAUGUCAAAGUAAAAAAAAAAUUCAUAGCAAGGAUUACUUUUACUUAAUAUUAUGUCUUGCACGAUAUACAUUUAAAUUAAUCGGAAUAA